rnacentral:rRNA from 2 species
UUCCACCUCUUCCCAUUCCGAACAGAGAAGUUAAGCCUCGUCACGCCGAUGGUACUGCGUAACAGUGGGAGAGUAGGUAGCCGCCGUUU